GGAAGUAAGAGUCGUAACAAGGUUUCCGUAGGUGAACCUGCGGAAGGAUCAUUACAGUAGUCGCCUGAGUUGCCGCAAGGCCUCCCGGGUAACCUACCACCCUUUGUUUAUUACACUUUGUUGCUUUGGCAGGCCUGCCCUCGGGCUGCUGGCUCCGGCCGGCGAGCGCUUGCCAGAGGACCUAAACUCUGUUUGUCUAUACUGUCUGAGUACUAUAUAAUAGUUAAAACUUUCAACAACGGAUCUCUUGGUUCUG
rnacentral:misc_RNA from 1 species